UACAGAGGGUGCGAGCGUUAAUCGGAUUUACUGGGCGUAAAGCGUGUGUAGGUGGCUACCUAAGUCGAUUGUGAAAUCCCUGGGCUCAACCUGGGAAUUGCAGUCGAUACUGGGAAGCUCGAGUUCGGUAGAGGACGGCGGAAUUCCCGGUGUAGCGGUGAAAUGCGUAGAUAGCGGGAGGAACAUCGAUGGCGAAAGCAACCGUCUGGGCCUGAACUGACACUGAGACACGAAAGCGUGGGGGAGCAAACAGG
rnacentral:rRNA from 1 species